rnacentral:rRNA from 1 species
GAUGAACGCUAGCGGCAGGCCUAAUACAUGCAAGUCGGACGGGAUUGAGAAGCUUGCUUUUCAUGAGAGUGGCGCACGGGUGCGUAACACGUAUGUAACCUACCUUAAUCUGGGGGAUAGCCUCUCGAAAGAGAGAUUAACACCGCAUAACAUCAUUUUAUAGCAUUUUAGAAUGAUCAAAUAUUUAUAGGAUUAAGAUG